GGGUACCUGCGGAGGGAUCAUUGCUGGAACGCGCCCCAGGCGCACCCAGAAACCCUUUGUGAACUUAUACCUUACUGUUGCCUCGGCGCAUGCUGGCCCCCUCGGGGUCCCUUGGAGACAAGGAGCAGGCACGCCGGCGGCCAAGUUAACUCUUGUUUUUACACUGAAACUCUGAGAAAAAACACAAAUGAAUCAAAACUUUCAACAACGGAUCUCUUGGUUCUGGCAUCGAUGAAGAACGCAGCGAAAUGCGAUAAGUAAUGUGAAUUGCAGAAUUCAGUGAAUCAUCGAAUCUUUGAACGCACAUUGCGCCCUCUGGUAUUCCGGAGGGCAUGCCUGUUCGAGCGUCAUUUCAACCCUCAAGCAUUGCUUGGUGUUGGGGCACUGCCUGUAAAAGGGCAGGCCCUGAAAUCUAGUGGCGAGCUCGCCAGGACCCCGAGCGCAGUAGUUAAACCCUCGCUUUGGAAGGCCCUGGCGGUGCCCUGCCGUUAAACCCCCAACUUUUGAAAAUUUGACCUCGGAUCAGGUAGGAAUACCCGCUGAACUUAAGCAUAUCAAAA
rnacentral:rRNA from 1 species